rnacentral:rRNA from 1 species
CCCUUAGAUGUUCUGGGCCGCACGCGUGCUACACUGAGUAAUUCAAUGGGUAAGGGAACGCUAGAGCAUUACCUAAUCUUGAAAUUUGCUCGUGAUGGGGAUCGACGGUUGCAAUUUUCCGUCGUGAACGAGGAAUACCUUGUAGGCGCAUGUCAUCAUCAUGCGCCGAAUACGUCCCUGUCCUUUGUACACACCGCCCGUCGCUCCUACCGAUUGAGUGAUCCGGUGAGGCUCUGGGACCUGGACGGAAAGAGCGUUUCGCUUGUUCUGUUUGGGAAACUUGGUCGAACCUUAUCAUUUAGAGGAAGGAGAAGUCGUAACA